UUCCUGCUCCCCUGACUGAUACCCGGGUGGAAUGAAUGGAGUUGGAGGGAGGCCCUCCCGCUUCAAGUAUGUGGGGGGCUGUGCGUCUUGGGUGGGGCUUUCAUUUCUGUGUGACUAGUGAGGAGUCCCCGCCUGGCAGGAAAGGAGAUAAGGGCGGUGGCACUCAACCCAGAAGGAAACAGUCUGGAAUCCUUCCCCGAGGGUCACCCCGCCUUCCCACCCGAGAUGGCCACCAGCAGCCGCCUGGUCCUGUCGGCGUGAUUCUGCAGGCCGGCCCAGGGGCCCCUGAGACAACACUAGCUAAGGCAAGAGCAGGCGCUUGGCGGGCCCCGGGCCCGUGGCAGAGGACGCCGGCCUGCCCGCCCACCCGCCAGCCUGGCCCUGGAGCCAGAGCUGUGAAUUGAGCAAAGCCGAGGAAGGAGAGAAGUGGCGCCUGCUGGAAAGCAGACAGAGCGGCUCCUUGAUUUCCUAAUAGGCCUCGCCGCAUGCCAGGGGCCGACAGGCCAGCUCAGAGCACCCAGCCUCGCUUGCGAAACAGUCCUUUCCUCCUUUGGGACUUUGUGCCCAGCUGGCCUUCUCAAGAGACCUGUGGAUUGAGUUGGAAGGAAAGUAUAUGCUGGCCAGAGCAGAGUCACUCAGAAGGUCCUUUCUGUCUCCUGGGAUGCAGCCUCCCUGAGACAUACAGGCUUGGAGAAUGGCAGAUUCACAGACGUUGGUGUACAACUCCAGUGGGUUCCCAGACCUUGGAGGACACCCAAGUGACAUGGCCUGACACACUCCAAACUAAAUCACCAAUGGGGAUGUCACAAGAGCACGGGACAGCGACUGCCUCCAUAAGGACAUCGACACAGCUACAGUUCCGUGUGUCACCGGGAGGAUCACGGAGGCUUUUUCUGUGGCUGUCCAGGCUGGGGCUGGGUAGCUCUGUGGUUAAGGCAGAAUGCCAGGGUGGCCAAUAAAGAUAUAAA